AAGUUUAGGUUAAAUAAACCAAGAGCCUUCAAAGCCCUAAACAAGAGACCCGCCCCUCCUAAC
rnacentral:tRNA from 1 species